CCCGCAUCGGGUUCCGCGCGACGCCUCCGUGGAAACACCCGGACGUCACCAGGCGCGGUAUCGCGCCUUCGACGCCGCUCGCGCCGCGCCCACCCGCCGUGGCGACGCGCGUCCAUCGAAAGGUCGUCACCUGACGUCAGCGACGGCUUUUGAAAAGCGCUUCAUCAUCUCGCGACUCGCGGCGGGCGCGUCAUGCCGGUGUGCUACUCCGCGGUGGCGCGCGACACCGUCGUGCUCGCAGAGGCACACGCGGCGACGUUCGGCCGCGAUGCCGCGGACGUGAGCUCGAUCGCGCGUCGCGUCCUCGAGGCGCACGGCGGCGAACCCGGCAACGCGCGCGCCUCUUACGGCGAGUCGGAUCUGGUGUUUCACCUCCUG
rnacentral:lncRNA from 1 species